GACGAACGCUGGCGGCGUGCUUAACACAUGCCAGUCGAACGGAAAGGCCCUGCUUUUGUGGGGUGCUCGAGUGGCGAACGGGUGAGUAACACGUGAGUAACCUGCCCUUGACUUUGGGAUAACUUCAGGAAACUGGGGCUAAUACCGGAUAGGAGCUCCUGCUGCAUGGUGGGGGUUGGAAAGUUUCGGCGGUUGGGGAUGGACCCGCGGCUUAUCGGCUUGUUGGUGGGGUAGUGGCUUACCAAGGCUUUGACGGGUAGCCGGCCUGGGAGGGUGACCGGCCACAAGGGGACUGAGAGACGGCCCAGACGCCUACGGGAGGCAGCAGUGGGGAAUAUGACACAAUGGGCGGAAGCCUGAUGCAGCAACGCCGCGGGCGGGAUGACGGCCUUCGGGUUGUAAACCGCUUUCGCCUGUGACGAAGCGUGAGUGACGGUAAUGGGUAAAGAAGCACCGGCUAACUACGUG
rnacentral:rRNA from 1 species